rnacentral:rRNA from 1 species
AUUGAACGCUGGCGGCAGGCCUAACACAUGCAAGUCGAACGAGUGGCGGACGGGUGAGUAAUGUCUGGGAAACUGCCCGAUGGAGGGGGAUAACCACUGGAAACGGUAGCUAAUACCGCCUACCAUCGGAUGUGCCCAGAGUGGAUUAGCUAGUAGGUGGGGUAACGGCUCACCUGGGCGACGAUCCCUAGCUGGUCUGAGAGGAUGACCAGCCACACUGGAACUGAGAAACGGUCCAGACUCCUACGGGGGGCAGCAGUGGGGAAUAUUCCACAAGGGGCGCAAGCCUGAUGAAGCAAUGCCGCGUGUAGGAAGAGGGCCUUCGGGUUGUAAGGUACUUUCAGCGAGGAGGCGUUACUCGAAGAAGAAGCACCGGCUAACUCCGUGCCAGCAGCCGCGGUAAUUC